rnacentral:tRNA from 1 species
GGAGGAGUGCCGGAGUGGUCGAUCGGGGCGCUCUCGAAAAGCGUUAGGCCUUUACGGGUCUCAGAGGUUCGAAUCCUCUCUCCUCCGCCA